GGGGUUGUGGCUCAGUGGUAGAGCACUUGCCUAGCAUGUGUGAGGCAUAGAGUUAGAUUCUCAGCACCA
rnacentral:tRNA from 1 species